rnacentral:rRNA from 1 species
GAUUGAACGCUGGCGGCAUGCCUUACACAUGCAAGUCGAACGGCAGCACGGGAGCAAUCCUGGUGGCGAGUGGCGAACGGGUGAGUAAUAUAUCGGAACGUGCCCAGUCGUGGGGGAUAACGUAGCGAAAGCUACGCUAAUACCGCAUACGAUCUAUGGAUGAAAGCGGGGGAUCGCAAGACCUCGCGCGAUUGGAGCGGCCGAUAUCAGAUUAGGUAGUUGGUGAGGUAAAGGCUCACCAAGCCGACGAUCUGUAGCUGGUCUGAGAGGACGACCAGCCACACUGGGACUGAGACACGGCCCAGACUCCUACGGGAGGCAGCAGUGGGGAAUUUUGGACAAUGGGCGCAAGCCUGAUCCAGCAAUGCCGCGUGCAGGAUGAAGGCCUUCGGGUUGUAAACUGCUUUUGUACGGAACGAAACGGUGAGCUCUAAUACAGUUUGCUAAUGACGGUACCGUAAGAAUAAGCACCGGCUAACUAUGUG